rnacentral:tRNA from 1 species
GUCCAUGUAGUAUACCUAUUAUAUUGGUCUUGUAAACCAAAGAAGGGGAUAAUAUCCCCCAUAGACUC